rnacentral:rRNA from 1 species
CCUACGGGAGGCAGCAGUGGGGAAUAUUGGGCAAUGGACGCAAGUCUGACCCAGCAACGCCGCGUGAAGGAAGAAGGCUUUCGGGUUGUAAACUUCUUUUAAGGGGGAAGAGCAGAAGACGGUACCCCUUGAAUAAGCCACGGCUAACUACGUGCCAGCAGCCGCGGUAAUACGUAGGUGGCAAGCGUUGUCCGGAUUUACGGGGUGGAAAGGGCGGGCAGCCGGAGAGAAAAGUCAGAGUGGAAAUCCACGGGCUCAACCCGUGAACGGACUUUGAAACUGUUUCCCUUGCGUGUCGGAGAGUUAAUCGGAUUUCCUUGUGUAGCUGUUAAAUGCGUAGAUAUCAGGAAGAACCCCAGUGGCGAAGGCGGCUUACUGGACGCUACCUGACGGUGCGGCGCGAAAGCGUGGGGAGCAAACAGGAUUAGAUCCCCGGGUAGUC